GACGAACCGUGCGAACGUUGUUCGGAAUCACUGGGCUUAAAGGGCGCGUAGGCGGGCCUUCAAGUCCGGGGUGAAAUCCUCCAGCCUAACUGGAGAAGAGCCUCGGAGACUGAGGGCCUCGAGGGAGGUAGGGGCAAGCGGAACUAUGGGUGGAGCGGUGAAAUGCAUUGAUAUCCAUAGGAACUCCGGUGGCGAAGGCGGCUUGCUGGACCUCUUCUGACGCUGAGGCGCGAAAGCCAGGGGAGCAAACAGG
rnacentral:rRNA from 1 species